CGGAUCGCCAUUUCGAUUCCCUCCUCUCUCACAACUCACAUCUCACAAACUUCAUCAGACUUUCUCCUCUCUUUCUCUCUCUUUCUUUCAGGUCAUUGCCGGCUGUUUUUCUAUCUUUAUCGCGAACUUAAAGAUUUCGUGGCUUGAUAACGCGAUUAUGAGUUUUUAGCGGUUUUGUUGAUUAUUGCAAUUCAAUGUCGGGAUCACUUGAUCGAUUUAGCGCGGGUCGAAGCGAUUGCGGGCAGAGCAUGUACAUCAACCAGAGUUGAUACAACCGGGUCAAGAAACAUCCAGCGGUGGCACCACCUUCUCAACUAUGACACUAAUUUGGGAAGCUUAAGAUUCUGUUUUGUUUUUUUGUUUAUUUUAUAUUCAUUUGCAAGCUGAUUGUUCGAAAUAUUUGAAAUAGGUUAUCAGGCUGCAAACCCACCAUCUAAGAACAUGUAUGGAGAAGUAGAUUUGACAUUAUCUGCUUCAGCUCUUUCUGUCAAUACCACAUUAUCUGGCCCUUCAGUUUGUAAAUUUGACACAGUCCUGGGUCUUUUGGACACAAAAAAAAUCCAGACUGGGAUAAAGUUAUCUUAGAUCAUAUAUUUGAUCAGGUAGAACCAGAAAAUGACAAAGUUCAUGAAGAUAUUAGUAAGAAGUGGCCUCUUUCCAUGCUUAGAAGGUACAUCUACUUUGUAAACGGAUAUUUUAGGCCAAUUCUAUCUAAAUGAAACAACUUGCAUAUGGUCUUCAGACCCGUAUUUGUAUCCACGCCUCUAUGGAUGAUUCAAAAGCUUAGUCUCUACUACCAGGUCGAUUAUAAAUUUAAUUUAUAUUAAAACAUCUAAGUGGUCGAUAUGGUUACUUGUACAAGGAUUGGUACUUUGAUACCAACUUCAAAUGAGGCGGGCAGGCACAAUUGGGCAACAGACCUACCUAAACAAGUUUAAGUUGAAAAAUAUAGAAAUAUUUUGUUAUUGGUCGGCUUGGGAACGAAGAAUCGCCUGGAACUUGAGGGUUGCACCUUAUGGAGUCAUGGGUCAUGGCUGAGUGACAAGGAAUCAUAUUUAUCACUUGGUAAUGAAUCGUUAAUUGAAGACGAGAGAAAUAGACGGGUGCAGAAGGAGCUGUUGUUUGUUACCUUGAGCAUCAUCUUGGUGACCGUAGUUCGUUCGCUGGGACUUCCAAUGAUUAUGCCAUCGUUAGCGAUAACAAUCCUUUUAACUUCAUCACUAGGUA